rnacentral:rRNA from 1 species
AUUGAACGCUGGCGGCAUGCCUUACACAUGCAAGUCGAACGGUAACGCGGGGCAACCUGGCGACGAGUGGCGAACGGGUGAGUAAUGUAUCGGAACGUGCCCAGUUGUGGGGGAUAACUGCUCGAAAGAGCAGCUAAUACCGCAUACGACCUGAGGGUGAAAGCGGGGGAUCGCAAGACCUCGCGCAAUUGGAGCGGCCGAUAGCAGAUUAGGCAGUUGGUGGGGUAAAGGCUCACCAAGCCAACGAUCUGUAGCUGGUCUGAGAGGACGACCAGCCACACUGGGACUGAGACACGGCCCAGACUCCUACGGGAGGCAGCAGUGGGGAAUUUUGGACAAUGGACGCAAGUCUGAUCCAGCCAUGCCGCGUGCGGGAAGAAGGCCUUCGGGUUGUAAACCGCUUUUGUCAGGGAAGAAACGCUCUGGGUUAAUACCUCGGGGUAAUGACGGUACCUGAAGAAUAAGCACCGGCUAACUACGUGCCAGCAGCCGCAGUAACAC